UACGAAGGGGGCGAGCGUUGUUCGGAAUUACUGGGCGUAAAGGGCGCGCAGGCGGCGGACCAAGUCAGGCGUGAAAGCCCCGGGCUCAACCUGGGAGGUGCGUCUGGGACUGGUUUGCUGGAGUUCGGGAGAGGAGCGUGGAAUUCCCAGUGUAGAGGUGAAAUUCGUAGAUAUUGGGAAGAACACCGGUGGCGAAGGCGGCGCUCUGGACCGAGACUGACGCUGAGGCGCGAAAGCGUGGGGAGCGAACAGG
rnacentral:rRNA from 1 species